UUCUAUGGCCAUACCACCCUAAACACACUGGAUCACAUCCAAUCUCAGAAACUAAGCAGAGUGGGGCCUGGUUAGCACUUGGAAGGGAGACUGUGAUGGUGUUUAUA
rnacentral:rRNA from 1 species